GUUGGAAUAAAUACCCGAAAGGCAACAGAUCCCAUUUGAUCUUGGAAGAUAAGCUGUUUUGGGCUUGGUUCGUGCUUGGAAGGAAGACCACCAAGGAAUACCAUAUGCUGCAGGCU
rnacentral:rRNA from 1 species